GUGGGGAAUCUUCCGCAAUGGACGAAAGUCUGACGGAGCAACGCCGCGUGAGUGAUGAAGGUCUUCGGAUUGUAAAGCUCUGUUAAUCGGGACGAAAGAGCCUAGUGUGAAUAAUGCUAGGAAGUGACGGUACCGGAAUAGAAAGCCACGGCUAACUACGUGCCAGCAGCCGCGGUAAUACGUAGGUGGCAAGUGUUGUCCGGAAUUAUUGGGCGUAAAGCGCGCGCAGGCGGAUCUGCCAGUCUGUCUUAAAAGUUCGGGGCUUAACCCCGUGAUGGGAUGGAAACUACAGAUCUAGAGUAUCGGAGAGGAAAGUGGAAUUCCUAGUGUAGCGGUGAAAUGCGUAGAUAUUAGGAAGAACACCAGUGGCGAAGGCGACUUUCUGGACGAAAACUGACGCUGAGGCGCGAAAGCCAGGGGAGCGAACGGGAUUAGAAACCCCUGUAGUCC
rnacentral:rRNA from 1 species